AACAAAACAAAAAAAAAGUUGUAAAAAAGAAAUAGCAAAACCCCAGAAAGGCAAAACCCUUCGUAUCGCCACGAUGUCCGCCGCCAGGUGUUUGUUGCGCUCCGCCGCAUCCCGAGCCGCCGGGGCGGCGAAUCUGGCAGCCGGAGCUAGGCCGAGACCGGCGCGAUCUCCGUUUCGCCUCCCAAAGCAAACCUCAAUCUCCAAUCGCGUUUUCAGGCUACCGGUAGAAGCGAGUUGCUGCGUGGAAUCUUUGCUUCCUUAUCACAGUGCUACUGCUUCCGCAUUGCUGAAUUCGAUGCUCUCUGUGUCUCGCCACUCCUACGGUUGGACUCCUGAAGAUUGCAAUGAUGAUGUAUGAUGAAUGACAGAGGGUUCGAGCAAGGUUUUAUGUAGAUGCGCUUGAACAAAGGGUCGUGAUCAUUUGCUCUUUGGCUUUAGGCUUGAGGACUAGCCAUAUGGAUGAUUGCUGUUUGUGGGUGCGGUGCAUCUGCGCAUACUUUCCAUGGAUUUCCGUUUACUUUGUUAGUUCUGCUUAGAGAUUUUUCUCCAUGGUUCAUUAUGAAAACUCCCGAGACUUAAAUUGUGCAAGCAUCCAGAGCUGGUACCAUGCUUAGGUAUGACUAUUUUAUUUGAAACAUAAUUGCAACAUUUUUUUUUAACUCGAUUAACAAUGAUUUGUAUCACCCUCUUGUUGAAAAUGGUUUUACUUCAAGUGUUAGCAAACGUUACCCUGAUUUUCAAUGUUAAACGAGCAAGUUUUGGAACAA